GAACCUGCAAUCUUUUGGUGUACAGGACGAUGCUCCAAACAGCUGAGCCACCUGGCCAGGACAACACAUACAUACUGCAUUUUAAUAAAUAAACAAAGAGUGCAGCUGUCAAAAUACCGCCAGUACAUGAAAGAAAUGUGAAUGUUGAGGGGAGGCCAGCGGCCUGCAGCGCUGAGGGCCUCUAAUAUAAGUAUGUUGUUGAGCAUCAGAAUUUCUCUGUUCUCCGUUGAGGUGUG